AUACGGAGGGUGCGAGCGUUAAUCGGAAUUACAGGGCGUAAAGCGUACGUAGGCGGUUGGUUAAGUUAGAUGUGAAAGCCCCGGGCUUAACCUGGGAACUGCAUUUAAAACUGGCGAACUAGAGUUGAGUAGAGGGGAGUGGAAUUUCAGGUGUAGCGGUGAAAUGCGUAGAGAUCUGAAGGAACACCAGUGGCGAAGGCGGCUCCCUGGACUCAAACUGACGCUGAGGUACGAAAGCGUGGGUAGCAAACAGGAUUAGAAACCCCAGUAGUCC
rnacentral:rRNA from 1 species